AGAGUUCGAUUCUGGCUCAGGAUGAACGCUGGCGGCGUGCUUAACACAUGCAAGUCGAACGAUUGAAGCUGGAGCUUGCUCCGGCCGAUUUAGUGGCGGACGGGUGAGUAACGCGUGGGUAACCUGCCUCAUACAGGGGGAUAGCAGUUGGAAACGACUGGUAAAACCGCAUAAGCGCACGGUAUCGCAUGAUACAGUGUGAAAACACUCCGGUGGUAUGAGAUGGACCCGCGUCUGAUUAGCUAGUUGGUGAGGUAACGGCCCACCAAGGCGACGAUCAGUAGCCGGCCUGAGAGGGUGAACGGCCACAUUGGGACUGAGACACGGCCCAA
rnacentral:rRNA from 1 species